CUGAUUUAUCUAACAUUCAGAGAUAAGGGGAGAUUGACUUGGAUAACAACCCUGAUACCUACCCCAGGGAUUAGAGAUGCUGAUGGAGAGACC